rnacentral:lncRNA from 1 species
GCUUCCGCUUGGACUAGCUACUGGUGAUUGCUUUUGCUGGCAGAGGGCACGAAUUUCAUGUCUGAAAAGGUCUGAAACUAUUUCAUGUCUGAAAAGGUCUGAAACUAUGGCACACUAUUUUUAGGGUGGUGUAUGUUAAUGGGAAUUCAGGAAGAUUUUAUGGUAAUGGGAAUUCAGGAAGAUUUUAUGGGAGAAAAAACGACUGUUUUCUUUGCCUUUUUUUCGUUUAUUGUAAGUGCCAUCUCUUUCUUUUCCAUCCUAAUAUGAGCUCGAUUCAAUGAUACAACAUGUCAUUUUCCACCUCUCAUUAAGCUUUUUGGAUGAAAGCAAAUCAAGAUUCAAUUUU